UCGAUUAAAUAUUCUCAUAUAUUAGUAAGAAAAAAAUUGUGACAUGCCAUUUUAAACUAAAAUUGUCUAUCCAUUUUUUGCUAAUCCACGUUGUUGCCCUCAAAGUACAAAAGAAGAAAAAGACGUAUCACCUCGAGUUUUUGAAUUUGCUCAGUCAAAAAAGGAAAAAAGAGAAAAAUUGGAAUAAGAUACAUGAAAAAUCUUUGAUAAAAUAGGUUGAUUUGUUACGUCUUCAUUUAAAACGAAAACUUAGAUAGAUUUGCAUCUCUCUUUGGAAAAAGAAGAAAAGACACAUCCCCUCAAGAUUUCUUACGUCUUCGUUUAAACCUCGUUUAGACGUAAUGCUGUCGGGUGUUGUACGUUUUCCUCUCACAGUUUCAUGGUUUAUUCUCAAUGAUGAAUAUAAUCCUGAGGAAGCUUUGAUAUAUAAUUUGGAUUGGAAGCCUAUUUCCUCUUACCAGCACUCCAUAUGUGUAGGCUUUUUGCUGAGACUGAAGUCAGAAACACCAUAAUGUCCUUCAACAAUGGGAAAGUUCUAGGACCUGUUGGUUUCACUAUGCUCUUUUACAAGAAACACUGGCAAAUUAUAAAGGAAGAUCUGAUGAAAUUCUUUCAUAAUUUCCAUAGGAAUUGCAUCAUCAACGACAAUGUCAACAAUACGUACAUUGCCUUCAUUGGUAAAAAAAAAAAAAAAAACCAGAUGCAUCACUCCCUUGGACUACAGACCUAUCAGUCUCACAACUUCCCUCUAUAAGAUUAUUGCUAAAACUCUUGCUAAUAGAAUCAAAUCCACCCUUGCUGAUACUAUAACAAAGAAUCAAAUAGCAUUCAUAAAGGGAAGACAAAUAACAGAUGUUAUUCUCAUUCCAAAUGAAGCUAUAUAUUUUUGGAGAACAAAGAAAAUCAAAGGCUUUGUUCUAAAGUUGGACAUUGAAAAAGCUUUUGACAAAAUUGGAUGGGGUUUCAUUGACUAUAUGCUCCUUAAGAAAAACUUUCCAAACAAAUGGAAAAGCUGGAUAAAAGCCUGCAUUUGCAAUGUUCAGUAUUGACUUCUUAUCAAUGGGAAACCAAAUGGAAAAAUAAAAGCUCAAAGAGGGAUUAGACAAGGCAAUCCAAUUUCCCCUUUCAUUUUUGUUCUAUCCAUGUACUACUUAAGCAGGUUGCUCCACCAUCUUGAAGAAAGAAAAGCUAUAAAAGGAGCUUCUCUUAACAAAAAUUGUAAUAUUUCUUACUUGCUCUUUGCAGAUGACAUACUUAUUUUUAUGGAAGAUAACGACACCUAUAUCAAAAAUCUUCAAGUUGCUCUCUCUCUUUUUGAGUUAGCCUCGGGGUUAAAAUUCAACCUGUCAAAAUCUACAAUUAGCCCUGUUAAUGUUUCUGCAAUUAGAGUUGAAAGUGUCGCUCAUCUCCGUGGUUUAACCUCUCAGCUUCUAUCGGUUAACUACUUGGGAGUUCCAUUGGGAGGCAAACCAAACUUAAAAUCAUUUUGGAGCAAAACCAUUGAACACUUUCAUAAGAAGCUAAAGAAAUAGAGAAACACUGGAGAAAUUUUCUUUGGAAAGGAGCACUACAAGAAAUCGGGGGGUUUCCGUGCACUAAAUGACGUCGGAAGAAUGAAUGUGGGGAUAGAUACCUGUUCUCGAUGUCAUUUUGCAUACGUCAAGACUUGUCGAAAACAUUAUUUUAAUAUUACGUUAUCCCGACAUUUCACGAAGGGUGUCGAAGAAGAUAUUUCCGACGUAUAGGCUUACGGCGUCAAGAAUAGUUCACAAUUAAAAUAAAUAUUUAACUUAUCCCGAUGUCCCAUGCAAGCCAUCGGGAAUGGUGACACUUGUUCCCUAUGAUUCUCGUCUGGCAUCAGAAAUUGGUAACAUAUUUUCCAACGACUUGCAUAGGUGUCAGAAAACACUUGUAUAUUAAUUAUGUUAGAGCAGGGGUUCCCGACGGUCCAUGCAUGGUGUUGGAAAAUAUGUUACCCAUUUUCGACGCCAUUAGUGACCGUCGAGAAUAGUUUGAAACAUUCUCGACGCAUCACUAAUAGCAUUGGGUAUACAGUGGAACUUUCGACAUCUUCGUGGUGCGUCGGGAGUUUCUCUAUAUUUCGUUUCAGUUUUGUGAAAGACAGAACUGAAAUGAAGGAAAGAAGACAAGAUAAGAGUCAACCGUCGCCCUUGUCGUGUCCAAGCUUUCCCUCGCCGCCGCGUUCUUCCUUUUCUGGUAAGUUUAAAGCAAUUAUUAGUUUUGAAUUUAGUAUGAGUUAGAAAUUAGUUUAGGUUAGUUAGUUUAUAGUUUUGUUUUUUGAAAUUAGUUUAAGAUGGAAUAUUGAAUUAGUUUUAGGAUAUUGACUUAGUUUUGGAAUGUAGGUUGAAAAUUUGAGGAGGGUUUAUUUGAGAAAUUUGGUUGGUGAGUUAAGAAAUAGAGGGGGUUUGAAUUGGAAUUUUGAUUUAGGGGGGUUGAAUUGGAAUUUUUGAACUGUGUGGAGGGGGAUAGAGGGUUCAAUUGGAAUUUUGAAAGGGAAUUGAUAAAUUGAACUUUUUAAGGAGGUGAGAUAGGUUUAAUUGAAUAUUUGAAGGGCAUAGGUUGAAAAUUGAGGGGGGGGGGGGCCCUAAGGGUUAUUACAGUUUUAAAAAUUAUGUAGUUUAUGUUAAGAUUCAUUUUGACCAUCUUACAGUUAUGAUAGCCUUUAGUUCGAUUCUAGUAGUUUAUUUCUUAUUAGUUUUGAAUAACUUUGUUCGAUUCCAGUUAUGGUAGUCUUUUUUGUUUUGAAUUUGUUUGUAUUUCUAAAGGUUUGAAGAGGUGGUAGUAGGGUAGCUUGUAGGUAGCGUUGUUGAAAGGUGUAGGUAGGAUGCGAAGAUUGAAGUUGUUUGUGGUUAAUUAAGUUAUGGUGAGCAACUGAACUCUUUAUCAGCGGGUCGAAGUCGUUUCUACAAUGACAGUACGAGCUUGCUAAGCAAAGAGGAAAAUCAAUCAACUGUAUGGAGUUGUUACGAAAAACACACGUUCGAGACGAGACGUUUGUGUUGCAGGCCGCAGAAGAUACGCAUUUUCUAAAUUUGUUGCAAAAUCAAAUGCUAGAACUCCAGUCCCAGCCUACCCCAGUGGGAAUGAGAUAUGCGAGACGGUGUUGGGUAGACGACCGGGCUACUCAAAAGGCCUUGGUUGAGGAUUCAAGCCUAAGGCUCGCAGGACGACCAGUGCGAGCAGUGCCAUGGCCUCAUGUUCGCAAUCCAUAAUAGAGCUCCAAUUACGAGCUGCGCUUGAUGAAGCUAUGCUACGGAUUGAAGAACAGAAAAGAAAUCAUGAUGCAUUAGCUUUAGAAGUGGAACGAAUAUGGAAGCUCAAAGAAGACAUGAGUCGGGCACAGCAAGGACCACCACAUGAUCCCUAGCCUUACGAUACAUAUAUAUGUUUCCAUUAUUCUUAAGUUCUUGAAAUGACAAUAUCCAGUGAUGAUAUACAUUAUGUAAUAAACCUAGUCACUUUUGUAUCGUUGUAGGACCCGCGGUGUAGAAUGGCGUACAUACGAGGCUCGUUAGGAGACGUACGACUUUCUUUGUGCUUUUUUUGGAAUGAGGAAUGUUUUUUAUUUCUAUUAUGAAGUUUGUUACAUUUUU